CUUGAUUGUUUGUGUCAAAUUUUUUUGAUCAUGAUUCAUCAAUGAUCAAGCAAUCUAAUAUGAAAAUAAUGCUAUUGAUAUGCUUAGUUUCACUCGUUGCAUAGUAAUGUUUGUGUUUCUAUUGAUGUUGGACUAUAGUUUACGGUCUCAUUCUUAUGGUAAUUGCCCCUGCAUCAUGAAUCUGAUUUAACCAUGAUCUUUUCCUGGUAAUUGUGGCUUGAAGGAUAAUUGUGUCUAGUGUAUGUUUUCUUUUAUUUCCCUCUCUAGGUCAAUUUUUUAUUCUAGGAUGUCUUGGCUCCUAGGAUGAGAUUGUGAUAAAAAUCUACAGGAAAAAUUGCAUGAACAAUGGUUAUGCUCAUCACCAACUGUUUAAUUCUGUGAAAUUUAUGUAUUUCAUAAAUAAAGGAAGCUGAAGAAGAAAAUGAGACUUCAAUUACUAUUUGUUGAAUUGAAUACCAAUUGAUUAUGUUGUCUGCUUUCAAAAACAGUUGAUUAAACUGAAAGGACAUAUACAAAAAGCUGGAUAAACUUCCAGGCUGAAGAUGGUAAAAGACUUUGGAGGCACAAGCAAAUACACUAAAGUAAUUGGUACGUGAAGUAGAACGAGGAAGAUCCUUGUAAAAGUUUGAACCCUAUGUAGUAGAGAAAGAUAACUACCUUGUAAAACUCAAUUAUCUUGUAAACUUUCGUAGAAGCUUCAUUCCUUUUAUAACA